CUAUUGAAUAAAUCUUUGUAUGAAACUGAGCAUUCCCUUUAGAAAAUAUAGUACUAAUAUGUUUUUAAAAUGAUGCUAAAUAACUUCUCUUGAUUUUUCUUUGUUUCUCUUUGUUAAUGGUAGAAUUCUGGUACAGCUCAAGUUUUCAGUUUAGUAGCAGAACGUAGAAAGAAAUUUCAGGAAAUCAUCAAUCGCAGUAGCAGUGAAGCAAAUCAGGUGGUUCGUCCCAAAACUUCAAGUAAAUGGUCUGCUCCUGGUUCAGCUCCACAGUUAACUACAGCCAUUUUGGAAAUUAAAGAAAGCAUAUUGUCUUUGCUAAUUAAACUUCACCACAAACUCUCAGGAAAACAAAACUCCUACUAUCCUCCUUGGCUUGAUGACAUAGAAAUUUUAAUCCAACCAGAAAUUCCUAAAUACAGUCAUGGAGAUGGUAUAACUGCCGUGGAAAGAAUUUUACUAAAAGCUGCAUCGCAAAGUAGAAUGAACAAACGCAUCAUUGAAGAGAUAUGUAGAAAAGUGACCCCUCCUGUACCACCUAAAAAAGUCACUGCAGCAGAGAAGAAAACAUUGGACAAAGAAGAAAGGCGACAGAAGGCUAGAGAGAGGCAGCAGAAAUUGCUUGCGGAGUUUGCUUCACGACAGAAAAGCUUUAUGGAAACUGCAAUGGA
rnacentral:lncRNA from 1 species